rnacentral:rRNA from 1 species
GACGAAGGGGCUAGCGUUGUUCGGAAUUACUGGGCGUAAAGCGCGUGUAGGCGGUUGUUCAAGUCAGGUGUGAAAGCCUUGAGCUCAACUCAAGAAAUGCACUUGAUACUGGAUGACUAGAGGACCGGAGAGGAUAGUGGAAGUUCCAGUGUAGUGGUGAAAUACGUAGAGAUUGGAAGAACACCAGUGGCGAAGGCGGCUAUCUGGACGGUUCUGACGCUAAGACGCGAAAGCGUGGGAGCAAACAGG